rnacentral:rRNA from 1 species
GUGGGGAAUAUUGGACAAUGGGCGAAAGCCUGAUCCAGCCAUGCCGCGUGUGUGAAGAAGGUCUUCGGAUUGUAAAGCACUUUAAGUUGGGAGGAAGGGCAGUAAGUUAAUAUCUUGCUGUUUUGACGUUACCGACAGAAUAAGCACCGGCUAACUUCGUGCCAGCAGCCGCGGUAAUACGAAGGGUGCAAGCGUUAAUCGGAAUUACUGGGCGUAAAGCGCGCGUAGGUGGGUUUGUAAGUUGGAGGUGAAAUCCCCGUGCGCAACCUGGGAACUGCCUCCAAAACUGCCUGACUAGAGUACGGUAGAGGGUAGUGGAAUUUCCUGUGUAGCGGUGAAAUGCGUAGAUAUAGGAAGGAACACCAGUGGCGAAGGCGACUACCUGGACUGAUAAUGACACUGAGGUGCGAAAGCGUGGGGAGCAAACAGGAUUAGAAACCCCGGUAGUCC